UGGAAAUGCAGAAAUCACCCACCUUCUGCGUUGAUCUCUGCGGGAGCUGUAGACUGGAGCUCUUCCUAUUCGGCCAUCUUGCCAGCCACCCGUACUGUACUUUGGAAGAAAGUCACUACAUAUAGCCAGCACUUUAAAAGAAUGGAGAAUUAUGGUCCCUAUCCUUAAGGCAAAUACAUUGGAGACUUCUCAACUUUCUGCUUCUGAUGAUCUCAACUUGUGGUAUGGCAAAAGGAGAGCAAAAUGUUCACCCAGGGGUCUGAGUUUGGUUCAAGAGAGGAACUACAGCUGUUGGUGACUACAACCAUCUGCCCAGAUGACAUCGUGAUCAACUCCUCUGAAUCACUCUAAAGGAACGAGAAGUCCUGGCAGCUGAGUCAUGAUCCCCCAGGAGCCAUUAAGAAGUUAAUCUUCAGUCACUUCCAUCCAAACAGAAGAAAACCCAUGAAGGAUGAGAACUAUGGGUCCUGAGAAUGACAGAAGCAGAUCAAGAAACUGGCGAUUGAAGAGUAACUGAAAGAAACGCAAUCUGAUCUUACUAGCAGUGAAAGAGCGAGUCUCCCUCUGAUGCCGAGCAGAAGCUAGACUGUACUGCUGCCAUCUCAGCUCACUGCAACCUCCCUGCCUGAUUCUCCUGCCUCAGCCUGCUGAGUGCCUGCAAUUGCAGGCGCGCCGCCACGCCUGACUGGUUUUCGUAUUUUUUUGGUGGAGACGGGGAUUCGCUGUGUUGGCCGGGCUGGUCUCCAGCUCCUAACCGCGAGUGAUCCACCAGCCUCGGCCUCCUGAGGUGCCGGGAUUGCAGACGGAGUCUGGUUCACUCAGUGCUCAAUGGCGCCCAGACUGGAGUGCAGUGGCGUGAUCUCAGCUCGCUACAACCUCCACCUCCCAGCCGCCUCCCUUGGCCUCCCAAAGUGCAGAGAUUGCAGCCUCUGCCCGGCCGCCACCCCGCCUGGGAAGUGAGGAGCGUCUCUGCCUGGCCGCCCAUUGUCUGGGAUGUGAGGAGCCCCUCUGCCUGGCUGCCCAGUCUGGAAAGUGAGGAGUGUCUCUGCCUGGCCGCCAUCCCAUCUAGGAAGUGAGGAGCGCCUCUUCCCGGCCGCCAUCCCAUCUAGGAAGUGAGGAGCCUCUCUGCCCAGCCGCCCAUCGUCUGAGAUGUGGGGAGCGCCUCUGCCCCGCCGCCCCGUCUGGGAUGUGAGGAGCGCCUCUACCCCGCCGCGACCCCGUCUGGGAGGUGAGGAGCGUCUCUGCCCGGCGGCCCCGUCUGGGAAGUGAGGAGACCCUCCGCCCGGCAGCCGCCCCAUCUGAGAAGUGAGGAGCCCCUCUGCCCAGCAGCCACCCUGUCUGGGAAGUGAGGAGCGUCUCUGCCCAGCAGCCACCCCGUCUGGGAGGGAGGUGGGGGGUCAGCCCCCCGCCCGGCCAGCCGCCCCGUCCGGGAGGUGAGGGGCGCCUCUGCCCGGCGGCCCCUACUGGGAAGUGAGGAGCCCCUCUGCCCGGCCAGCCGCCCCGUCUGGGAAGUGAGGAGCGUCUCCGCCCAGCAGCCACCCCGUCCGGGAGGGAGGUGGGGGGAUCAGCCCCCCGCCCGGCCAGCCGCCCAGUCCGGGAGGGAGGUGGGGGGGUCAGCCCCCCGCCCGGCCAGCCGCCCCGUCCGGGAGGUGAGGGGUGCCUCUGCCCGGCCGCCCCUACUGGGAAGUGAGGAGCCCCUCUGCCCGGCCAGCCGCCCGGUCCGGGAGGGAGGUGGGGGGGUCAGCCCCCUGCCUGGCAAGCCGCCCCGUCUGGGAGGGAGGUGGGGGGAUCAGCCCCCCGCCGGGCCAGCCACCCCGUCCGGGAGGUGAGGGGUGCCUCUGCCCGGCCGCCCCUACUGGGAAGUGAGGAGCCCCUCUGCCCGGCCAGCCGCCCCAUCCGGGAGUGAGGUGGGGGGGUCAGCCCCCUGCCCGGCCAGCCGCCCCGUCCGGGAGGUGAGGGGCGCCUCUGCCCGGCCGCCCCUACUGGGAAGUGAGGAGCCCCUCUGCCCGGCCACCACCCCGUCUGGGAGGUGUACCCAACAGCUCAUUGAGAACGGGCCAUGAUGACAAUGGCGGUUUUGUGGAAUAGAAAGCGGGGAAAGGUGGGGAAAAGAUUGAGAAAUCGGAUGGUUGCCGUGUCUGUGUAGAAAGAGGUAGACAUGGGAGACUUUUCAUUUUGUUCUGUACUAAGAAAAAUUCUUAUCCUGUUGAUCUGUGACCUUACCCCCAACCCCGUGCUCUCUGAAACAUGUGCUGUGUCCACUCAGGGCUAAAUGGAUUAAGGGCGGUGCAAGAUGUGCUUUGUUAAACAGAUGCUUGAAGGCAGCAUGCUCGUUGAGAGUCAUCACCACUCCCUAAUCUCAAGUAACCAGGGACACAAACACUGUGGAAGGCCGCAGGGUCCUCUGCCUAGGAAAACCAGAGACCUUUGUUCACUUGUUUAUCUGCUGACCUUCCCUCCACUAUUGUCCUAUGACCCUGCCAAAUCCCCCUCUGCGAGAAACACCCAAGAAUGAUCAAUAAAAAAAUAAAAUAAAAUAAAAUAAAAUAAAAUAAAUAAAGUUUCAUGCGCAUCCGUGUGAAGAGACCACCAAACAGGCUUUGUGUGAGCAGCAUGGCUGUUUAUUUCACCUGGGUGCAGGCGGGCUGAGUCCGAAAAGAGAGUCAGCCAAGGG
rnacentral:lncRNA from 1 species